rnacentral:rRNA from 1 species
GACGAACAGUGCGAACGUUAUUCGGAAUCACUGGGCUUAAAGCGCGUGUAGGCGGAAGGGCACGUCUGUCGCUGAAAUCCCCCGGCUCAACCGGGGAACGGGCGCGGAUACGACUCUUCUGGAGGAACGUAGGGGGACCUGGAACUUCCGGUGGAGCGGUGAAAUGCGUUGAGAUCGGAAGGAACGCCCGUGGCGAAAGCGAGGUCCUGGACGUUUUCUGACGCUGAGACGCGAAAGCCAGGGGAGCGAACGGG